AACGAACGCUGGCGGCAGGCUUAACACAUGCAAGUCGAACGCCCCGCAAGGGGAGUGGCAGACGGGUGAGUAACGCGUGGGAAUCUACCGUACCCUACGGAACAACAGUUGGAAACGACUGCUAAUACCCGUAUACGCCCUACGGGGGAAAGAUUUAUCGGGGUAUGAUGAGCCCGCGUUGGAUUAGCUAGUUGGUGGGGUAAAGGCCUACCAAGGCGACGAUCCAUAGCUGGUCUGAGAGGAUGAUCAGCCACAUUGGGACUGAGACACGGCCCAAACUCCUACGGGAGGCAGC
rnacentral:rRNA from 1 species